CAAGUCGAACGCUGGAACCAAGCUUGCUUGGUGAAGGAGUGGCGAACGGGUGAGUAAUACAUAAGCAACCUGCCUACAAGGACUGGGAUAAUCUCUGGAAACGGGGACUAAUACCGGAUAGGUAAUCUUAAGGCAUCUUGGGAUUAUUAAAGUUUUGAAACACAAGUAGAUGGGCUUAUGGCGCAUUAGCUUGUUGGUGAGGUAACGGCCCACCAAGGCGAUGAUGCGUAGCCGGCCUGAGAGGGUGAACGGCCACAUUGGGACUGAGACACGGCCCAGACUCCUACGGGAGGCAGCAGUAGGGAAUUUUCGGCAAUGGGCGAAAGCCUGACCGAGCAACGCCGCGUGAGUGAAGACGGUCUUCGGAUUGUAAAGCUCUGUUGUAAAGGAAGAAUGAUCGGGAUGGACUCCCGAGUUGACGGUACCUUACCAGAAAGCCACGGCUAACUACGUGCCAGCAGCCGCGGUAAUACGUACGUGGCGAGCGUUAUUCCGGAAUUAUUGGGCGUAAAGGGUGCGUUNGCGGC
rnacentral:rRNA from 1 species